rnacentral:rRNA from 1 species
CAGUCGCCGCGGUAACACGUAGGUGGCAAGCGUUGUCCGGAUUUAUUGGGCGUAAAGCGAGCGCAGGCGGUCAAUUAAGUCUGAUGUGAAAGCCCCCGGCUCAACCGGGGAGGGUCAUUGGAAACUGGGAAACUUGAGUGCAGAAGAGGAGAGUGGAAUUCCACGUGUAGCGGUGAAACGCGUAGAGAUGUGGAGGAACACCAGUGGCGAAGGCGACUCUCUGGUCUGUAACUGACGCUGAGGAGCGAAAGCGUGGGGAGCGAACAGGAUUAGAUACCCCCGUAGUCCCUGUCUCUUAUAC